rnacentral:rRNA from 1 species
GAUGAACGCUAGCUACAGGCUUAACACAUGCAAGUCGAGGGGAAACGGCAUUGAGUGCUUGCACUCUUUGGACGUCGACCGGCGCACGGGUGAGUAACGCGUAUCCAACCUUCCCAUUACUGUGGGAUAACCUGCCGAAAGGCAGACUAAUACCGCAUAGUCUUCGAUGACGGCAUCAGAUUUGAAGUAAAGAUUUAUCGGUAAUGGAUGGGGAUGCGUCUGAUUAGCUUGUUGGCGGGGUAACGGCCCACCAAGGCUACGAUCAGUAGGGGUUCUGAGAGGAAGGUCCCCCACAUUGGAACUGAGAUACGGUCCAAACUCCUACGGGAGGCAGCAGUGAGGAAUAUUGGUCAAUGGACGGAAGUCUGAACCAGCCAAGUAGCGUGCAGGAUGACGGCCCUAUGGGUUGUAAACUGCUUUUGUAUGGGGAUAAAGUUAGGGACGUGUCCCUAUUUGCAGGUACCAUACGAAUAAGGACCGGCUAAUUCCGUGCCAGCAGCCGCGGUAAUACGGAAGGUCCAGGCGUUAUCCGGAUUUAUUGGGUUUAAAGGGAGCGUAGGCUGGAGAUUAAGUGUGUUGUGAAAUGUAGACGCUCAACGUCUGAAUUGCAGCGCAUACUGGUUUCCUUGAGUACGCACAACGUUGGCGGAAUUCGUCGUGUAGCGGUGAAAUGCUUAGAUAUGACGAAGAACUCCGAUUGCGAAGGCAGCUGACGGGAGCGCAACUGACGCUUAAGCUCGAAGGUGCGGGUAUCAAACAGG